rnacentral:rRNA from 1 species
AUUGAACGCUGGCGGCGUGCUUUACACAUGCAAGUCGGACGAGUGGCGGACGGGUGAGUAAUGCAUCGGAACGUACCCAGUGAUGGGGGAUAACUACCCGAAAGGGCAGCUAAUACCGCAUACUAUUGGAGGGGCCGAUGUCUGAUUAGCUGGUUGGGGGGGUAAAGGCUCACCAAGGCGACGAUCAGUAGCUGGUCUGAGAGGAUGAUCAGCCACACUGGGACUGAGACACGGCCCAGACUCCUACGGGAGGCAGAAGUGGGGAAUGUUGGACAAUGGGGGCAAGCCUGAUCCAGCCAUGCCGCGUGUAUGAAGAAGGCCUUCGGGUUGUAAAGUUCUUUCGGUGACGAGGCGUUAAUCACAGAAGAAGCACCGGCUAACUCCGUGCCAGCAGCCGCGGUAAUUC